UGGGGAAUUUUGGACAAUGGGGGCAAGCCUGAUCCAGCCAUGCCGCGUGCGGGAAGAAGGCCUUCGGGUUGUAAACCGCUUUUGGCCGGAAAGAAAAGCCCAAGGAUAAUACCCUUGGGUUUUGACGGUACCGGCAGAAUAAGCACCGGCUAACUACGUGCCAGCAGCCGCGGUAAUACGUAGGGUGCGAGCGUUAAUCGGAAUUACUGGGCGUAAAGCGUGCGCAGGCGGUUUGUUAAGUCCGCUGUGAAAGCCCCGGGCUCAACCUGGGAAUGGCGGUGGAAACUGGCGAGCUAGAGUGUGGCAGAGGGGGGUGGAAUUCCACGUGUAGCAGUGAAAUGCGUAGAGAUGUGGAGGAACACCGAUGGCGAAGGCAGUCCCCUGGGCUAACACUGACGCUCAGGCACGAAAGCGUGGGGAGCAAACAG
rnacentral:rRNA from 1 species